UACGGAGGGGGCAAGCGUUGUUCGGAUUUACUGGGCGUAAAGGGUGUGUAGGCGGCUGGAUAAGUCUGGUGUGAAAUCUUCACCGCUCAACGGGAAGGGGUCACUGGAAACUGUUCAGCUUGAGUAUGGUAGAGGCAAGCGGAAUUCCUGGUGUAGCGGUGGAAUGUGUAGAGAUCCCCAAGAACACCAGUUGCGAAGGCGACAUCCUGGACCGGUAUUGACGCUGAGGCGCGAAAGCCAGGGGAGCAAACGGG
rnacentral:rRNA from 1 species